UUCACACGCACACACAUAAAUCGAAUGGGAGAUCAGGAGCAAGAGAAGGGAUAUUGCAGAUAAUUAUAGAGUCCAACCCAACAAUCCAUCAACACUUUAUUCCCAAGGGAGAAUCGAGAGAAAAGUAAUACUGUGGCGCGAGGAAUUGUUUUCAAAAAUAUUGGAAAGCAUACGAGGUUGAGCAGCGAAGUGGUGGAGGAAGUGCUAUUGAGACAAUACAUUUAAUUCAGUCAGAUUAGGACUCUCGGAGGUUCAUGUCUCCAUACAUGGAACCGCGUUCUUUUCCUUCCGUUAUGCAUCUUAAAAGACUCAAGUCUAUUUUGUUCAAAACUCUGGUAUUUUGAAAACUUUUACAAACAAUUACUCGAGUUUUCAUAAGCGAGUAUCUUUUCCUCUAUGUAUCAGCACUUGAUUAGUCAUGUCUCCAACCAAUGUUUGAUUUUAUUUUCCCCUAUUUCUUUCCCCGCUUCUUAUACCCCCGCCCCUAGUCACGGUUUCCCGACUGUACUAUCCUUAGUAAGUGCGGUCGUGACACUAGUAGUAAUAACUAUCAGUGGGUGUUGCAGAGCUAAUAAAGAUUUAUGUUAGUUUAAUAUUCCAUGUCUUGAACGCUUCGGCUAAGAUACUAUUUCUUUUAAGUUUAUGUACCGAGAAUGAUACUCUUAUUUUGUCAAGCUAUUCUUAUUAUUCU